CUAAGGAAUAUUACGGAGACUACACAGGUUGCUUUAUUCGUUCAGUUUUGAGAGGUUUACUCUCAAAAAUCGUUCAUUGAAAACUGGAUACAGAAACAAACCAAACAAACCGAGAACACCGCGUUGAAUGAGUUUUUUAAUAAGUUCAAUUGCUUAUUUUUUUCUGAUUGGGAAGUCUAUCGCUAGAUGGAACAAUCAAACCCCUAAUGAAAAUUAGGAUAA
rnacentral:misc_RNA from 1 species